GCGUGAGCAACCUGCCUUUCAGUGGGGGACAACAGUUGGAAACGACUGCUAAUACCGCAUAAUGCAUUUUGACCGCAUGAUCAAUGCCAAAAUUUAUUGCUGAAAGAUGGGCUCGCGUCUGAUUAGAUAGUUGGUGGGGUAACGGCCCACCAAGUCGACGAUCAGUAGCCGGACUGAGAGGUUGAACGGCCACAUUGGGACUGAGAUACGGCCCAGACUCCUACGGGAGGCAGCAGUGGGGAAUAUUGGGCAAUGGGGGAAACCCUGACCCAGCAACGCCGCGUGAAGGAAGAAGGCUUUCGGGUUGUAAACUUCUUUUACCAGGGACGAAGAAAGUGACGGUACCUGGAGAAAAAGCCACGGCUAACUACGCGCCAGCAGCCGCGGUAAUACGUAGGUGGCAAGCGUUGUCCGGAUUUACUGGGUGUAAAGGGCGUGUAGGCGGAGAUGCAAGUCAGAUGUGAAAUCCUCGGGCUUAACCCGGGAACUGCAUUUGAAACUGUAUCCCUUGAGUAUCGGAGAGGCAGGCGGAAUUCCUAGUGUAGCGGUGAAAUGCGUAGAUAUUAGGAGGAACACCAGUGGCGAAGGCGGCCUGCUGGACGACAACUGACG
rnacentral:rRNA from 1 species